rnacentral:rRNA from 1 species
CUCGUUUGCUCCUGGCUCAGGCCUCACGCUGGCGGCGUGCCUCAUCCAUGCAAGUCGCACGCUUCUUUUUCCACCGGUCGCUUGCUCCACCGGUAAAAAGUCGGAGUGGCGCACGGGUGAGUCACACGUGGGUAACCUGCCCAUCAUAAGGGGAUAACACUUGGAAACAGGUGCUAAUACCGUAUAACAAUCGAAACCGCAUGGUUUUGAUUUGAAAGGCGCUUUCGGGUGUCGCUGAUGGAUGGACCCGCGGUGCAUUAGCUAGUUGGUGAGGUAACGGCUCACCAAGGCGACGAUGCAUAGCCGACCUGAGAGGGUGAUCGGCCACAUUGGGACUGAGACACGGCCCAAACUCCUACGGGAGGCAGCAGUAGGGAAUCUUCGGCAAUGGACGAAAGUCUGACCGAGCAACGCCGCGUGAGUGAAGAAGGUUUUCGGAUCGUAAAACUCUGUUGUUAGAGAAGAACAAGGAUGAGAGUAACUGUUCAUCCCUUGACGGUAUCUAACCAGAAAGCCACGGCUAACUACGUGCCAGCAGCCGCGGUAAUACGUAGGUGGCAAGCGUUGUCCGGAUUUAUUGGGCGUAAAGCGAGCGCAGGCGGUUUCUUAAGUCUGAUGUGAAAGCCCCCGGCUCAACCGGGGAGGGUCAUUGGAAACUGGGAGACUUGAGUGCAGAAGAGGAGAGUGGAAUUCCAUGUGUAGCGGUGAAAUGCGUAAAUAUAUGGAGGAACACCAGUGGCGAAGGUGGCUCUCUGGUCUGUAACUGACGCUGAGGCUCGAAAGCGUGGGGAGCAAACAGGAUUAGAUACCCUGGUAGUCAAA